rnacentral:rRNA from 1 species
GAGCUGGCGGCAGCUACACAUGCAGUCGAGCGGUAACAUUUCAAAAGCUUGCUUUUGAAGAUGACGAGCGGCGGACGGGUGAGUAAUGCCUGGGAAUUUGCCCAUUUGUGGGGGAUAACAGUUGGAAACGACUGCUAAUACCGCAUACGCCCUACGGGGGAAAGCAGGGGACCUUCGGGCCUUGCGCUGAUGGAUAAGCCCAGGUGGGAUUAGCUAGUAGGUGAGGUAAAGGCUCACCUAGGCGACGAUCCCUAGCUGGUCUGAGAGGAUGAUCAGCCACACUGGGACUGAGACACGGCCCAGACUCCUACGGGAGGCAGCAGUGGGGAAUAUUGCACAAUGGGGGAAACCCUGAUGCAGCCAUGCCGCGUGUGUGAAGAAGGCCUUCGGGUUGUAAAGCACUUUCAGCGAGGAGGAAAGGUUGGUAGCUAAUAACUGCCAGCUGUGACGUUACUCGCAGAAGAAGCACCGGCUAACUCCGUGCCAGCAGCCGCGGUAAUACGGAGGGUGCGAGCGUUAAUCGGAAUUACUGGGCGUAAAGCGUGCGCAGGCGGUUUGUUAAGCGAGAUGUGAAAGCCCCGGGCUCAACCUGGGAACCGCAUUUCGAACUGGCAAACUAGAGUCUUGUAGAGGGGGGUAGAAUUCCAGGUGUAGCGGUGAAAUGCGUAGAGAUCUGGAGGAAUACCGGUGGCGAAGGCGG